UUGGAGGGCAAGUCUGGUGCCAGCAGCCGCGGUAAUUCCAGCUCCAAUAGCGUAUAUUAAAGUUGUUGCAGUUAAAAAGCUCGUAGUUGAAUUUCGGGGUCAGUAGGUUGGUCAUGCCACUGGUAUGUACUGGUCUCACUGAUUCCUCCUUCCUGAUGAGCCGUAAUGCCAUUAAUUUGGUGUUGCGAGGAAUCUGGACUGUUACUUUGAAAAAAUUAGAGUGUUUUAAGCGAGCUAACGCUUGAAUACAUCAGCAUGGAAUAAUGAAAUAGGACGUUCGAUCCUAUUUUGUUGGUUUCUAGGAUUGACGUAAUGAUUAAUAGGGAUAGUUGGGGGCAUUAGUAUUCAAUUGUCAGAGGUGAAAUUCUUGGAUUUAUUGAAGACUAACUACUGCGAGAGCAUUUGCCAAGGAUGUUUUCAUUAAUCAAGAACGAAAGUUAGGGGAUCGAAGACGAUCAGAUACCGUCGUAGUCCUAACCAUAAACUAUGCCGACUAGGGAUCGGAUGAUGUUAAUUUUUUAAUGACUCAUUCGGCGCCUUACGGGAAACCAAAGUGUUUGGGUUC
rnacentral:rRNA from 1 species